AUACUUACCUGGACGGGGUCAAUGGGCGAUCAAUUAGGCUCAUGGCCUAGGUUAGCAACUUCCAUUGCACUUUGGAGGGGUGCUUGCUUAAGGUCGGCCCAAGAGGUCGAGCCUGCGUCGUAAUUUGUGGGAGAGUGGGCCUGCGUUCGCGCGGCCCCUAU